rnacentral:tRNA from 1 species
CGACGGCUUGCAGCACCCGUGGGUCGGCCGCCUCGCGGGCGGCCGCGGCAAUCAGGUCGACGGGUUCGAUAUCGGCGUCGUCGU